rnacentral:rRNA from 1 species
UACGAAGGGGGCUAGCGUUGCUCGGAAUCACUGGGCGUAAAGCGCACGUAGGCGGCUUCUUAAGUCAGGGGUGAAAUCCUGGAGCUCAACUCCAGAACUGCCUUUGAUACUGGGAGGCUUGGAGUCCGGGAGAGGUGAGUGGAACUGCGAGUGUAGAGGUGAAAUUCGUAGAUAUUCGCAAGAACACCAGUGGCGAAGGCGGCUCACUGGCCCGGUACUGACGCUGAGGUGCGAAAGCGUGGGGAGCAAACAGG